rnacentral:rRNA from 1 species
UACGAAGGGGGCUAGCGUUGUUCGGAAUCACUGGGCGUAAAGCGCGCGUAGGCGGUCAUGCAAGUCAGGGGUGAAAGCCUGAGGCUCAACCUCAGAACUGCCUUUGAAACUGCAUGACUGGAGUCUUGGAGGGGGUAGGGGAAUUCCUAGUGUAGAGGUGAAAUUCGUAGAUACUAGGAGGAACACCGGAGGCGAAGGCGCCUACCUGGACAAGUACUGACGCUGAGGUGCGAAAGCGUGGGGAUCAAACAGG